UACGUAGGGGGCAAGCGUUGUCCGGAUUUAUUGGGCGUAAAGAGCGUGUAGGCGGCCAUUCAGGUCAGCUGUGAAAACUCGAGGCUCAACCUCGAGACGUCGGUUGAAACCGUUUGGCUAGAGUCCGGAAGAGGAGAGUGGAAUUCCCGGUGUAGCGGUGAAAUGCGCAGAUAUCGGGAAGAACACCCGUGGCGAAGGCGGCUCUCUGGGACGGUACUGACGCUGAGACGCGAAAGCAUGGGGAGCGAACAGG
rnacentral:rRNA from 1 species